CCUACGGGUGGCAGCAGUCGAGAAUCAUUCACAAUGGCGGAAACCCUGAUGGUGCGACGCCGCGUGGGGGAAUGAAGGUCUUCGGAUUGUAAACCCCUGUCAUGUGGGAGCAAAUUAAAAAGAUAGUACCACAAGAGGAAGAGACGGCUAACUCUGUGCCAGCAGCCGCGGUAAUACAGAGGUCUCAAGCGUUGUUCGGAAUCACUGGGCGUAAAGCGUGCGUAGGCUGUUUCGUAAGUCGUGUGUGAAAGGCGCGGGCUCAACCCGCGGACGGCACAUGAUACUGCGAGACUGGAGUAAGGGAGGGGGAACCGGAAUUCGCGGUGUAGCAGUGAAAUGCGUAGAUAUCGAGAGGAACACUCGUGGCGAAGGCGGGUUCCUGGACAUUAACUGACGCUGAGGCACGAAGGCCAGGGGAGCGAAAGGGAUUAGAUACCCCUGUAGUC
rnacentral:rRNA from 1 species